rfam:Giardia intestinalis strain GS GS_B_0047, whole genome shotgun sequence.
GACAGUUUGGCCGAGUGGUUAAGGCGAUUGACUAGAAAUCAAUUGUGCUUCGCACGCAUGGGUUCGAAUCCCAUAGCUGUCG